UACGAGGGGGGCUAGUGUUGUUCGGAAUCACUGGGCGUAAAGGGCGCGUAGGCGGGCGUUUAAGUUAGGUGUUUAAUCCCGGGGCCCAACCCCGGACCGGCACCUAAAACUGGACGUCUUGAAUAGUGGAGAGGUCGGUGGAAUUGGAGGUGUAGCGGUGGAAUGCGUAGAGAUCUCCAAGAACACCCGUUGCGAAGGCGGCCGACUGGACACAUAUUGACGCUGAGGCUCGAAAGCAUGGGGAGCAAACAGG
rnacentral:rRNA from 1 species